UAUAUAUCUUUUGCUUAGUGUGUUUAAUAAAUAAAUAAAGUGGCUAUGCUAAACUGAAUCAAAAUAAUAAAACUCUAGCAUGGAUAUGAUGAAUAGUUGCUCUGCCUAAUUUUUAAAAUUUGAAGUUCUCUCUCAAGUUUAGAUAUAACUGUUAUAAUUUAAAGCUUGCUCUAAACCUAAAUUUGUGAGAUGAAAACUUGAUCUGAAGUCUAAGUUGUUAACGGAUAUGAUAUGGGAAGGUUGAGCUGCUAUUUAUCUAUUCCUAGAGAUGCUAGAAUUCUAGAAAAUUUUAUCUUUUAAAAUUUUUAAAAUAUCAUAUGAUGAGUUCCUGUAUGAUGAGAGUUUAAAUUCCUACCACAGCCAUAUAUACAUGCUUGCUAGACUUUGAGCCACACAUUUACUAUUUGCUGCUUAUGAGCAUUGAGUGUGGUCAAGCUGUGUAGACCCGUAGGAGCUUGUCAUGUGGUUAAAUCAAGAUUCACUUGCACGUUCACUCCGGAAGUACCAUCCACAUAUAUCCACCCAUUUCCAUCUCCAGAACCACCCAAAAAUAUUCUACUCCUAAUCCGAGAGAGAAUGGCCAAAAAUAUUUCUGUUUUUCCCUUGUGAAAUAAAUGCUCAAGUUAUCUUUACUACCACUUGCUAUAUUAUCUCAAGAGAUGAGUGCUCUAAAAAAAAUAAAAAAAAUAAGAAUAAGAUACGAGGAAAUAAAAAGGAGCAAGUGCACGGAACCUCGAAAGAAAAGAAAAAAAAGUGAGACGAGAGGUAAAAAUGGACAAGUGUCCGACAGUAGAAUUAGUGGUACAAGAUACCCACCUGAGAGAAAAAGAAAAAUAAAGAGCAUCUCAUUCUCAUCACAAAGUUACAAAAAGCAAGGAAGGUAUGUAUCCCCUCAAAAGAGCAAAAGUAGAAUUAGGCUUUCGCCAUUGUUAUCAUCACCAUACACCAUUCAUUCGCCACACAUGCACAUCUUGAUUCGAUUUAUUAACUUGUUCUUCUGGAUCCAUGGUUUGACUAUGCAAUAAAUGUCUUGUGAGUAUGUAUAUUUUAUCUCCCACCUAUGAGCUCCACAUAUUAAAGCCUUAUUAGAGUAGGGUGAGAGAGAAGGCAAUGUCACUAUGCCUUAUACCACAAAUACUACAUAUAAUUUGAGAGAAGGCAUAUACCAUCACUGCCUUGGUGAGGAUCCAGAAAUACCGCAAAAGAGUGAUCAGAGAGAGUCAUACAAGGAAUCUCUGAGUUUUAUUUGAAAAUCUGCAAAAACUCCAGAGCUAUAGCUGAUCAAGAAUAAGAGACAUGGCACUUGACUAGACUGUUCUAUCUUUUAACCACUCAAGACAGGAGUGACGGUUACAAGUCCCAUGGUGAAAGGUAAAGUAAGUAAGUUUUAAGUCUUGAAAGUUUACUAUAACUCUGAGAUAAGAUCUUAUUUAAAACCAUGUGUACCGUCAAUUUUUAAAGGUAUUGCAACAACUUCUAAUCCAUCGCUAAGAUUAUCCUUGCUCAGGGACGAGCAAGAGGUAAGCUUGGGGGAGUUUGUUGACGGUCCUUAAGUAUCAAAUUUAAUUAUCAAAUAAACAAAGAAAAGGAUCCAAAUGAAAUCAACAUCCAGACUUAGGGUUUUAUCUGACAGAAUUCCACGAGUUUUGGUGUUUGUCUAUUUCUGUAGGGGUUAUCAGGAAAUACGGAAGAAAGGCCCACACGUCGGGAUUACAUAGAGAUAUUAACGUGCCGCGCAAUUAUCUUACAUCUAGAAGACUCCAGAAGCCACGGGAAGGAAGCGGAGGCCGAAGGGGGCCAGGCACUGGGCGCCCGCCCCCUGUUGGAACCCAAUUAGGACUCUCUUUCGGGGAAGAUCUCCACCGACCUAAAUGAUCAAGGAUAACCGUUCAAUCAAUGUCGGUUUGAUCCAACGGCCCAUAUUCACUUGAAGGGACUAUAAAACCAGGCCCCCUGGCCCCUGGAGGAGAGAGCCUCUCAACCCUAAUUCAUUACUCCUCAAGGGAGAAGAAGCCCCUGAUCAAGAUUAGAGCCACCACAUCAAUUAGAUAUCUAGAUUAGCAUAGCUACAUAGGAUUAGAACUAGAAGGAGUCAAUCUUCGAUUGGUUUCCGGAUCUGUCAAGAGGAUUCUUGGUAAUUCUCUAAUUGUGCUUCUAAUUGUUUUUCUAAUUAUCUUUGUUCUUCAAUAUUAUGAAUAUGACUUUGUUCUACUUCAAUAUAUUGCUUAUGACUUUGCUCUACUUUCUUAUAUUCAAGAUUAUAUUGUUCUUAGUUUAUCAUAGUUAUGUACUUGGCUUAGUUAGAUUGGAUCUAUAUACAUGUUUAGGAUCGUAUAGCGUUUAUCCAUCGGAUCCAUGGGUAAAUGAUAGAUAUUGUGUAGGCGUGGUGCUUAUACCAUAUUUUUCUGCGAUUGUACCCAAUAUGCCAGAUCGUGGGGUAGUUCGUGAUAGUGACAGCUUCAUUGAUUCUUAUAUAGUCCCCUCUCGUGUAUUGGGCUGGCAGAGCAACAUUAUUACAGGGGAGUGAUUGCUAUGUUUCUCAUUUACCUUGCUAAUAUCACUAUGCAUGGGCGUAGUCUUGUCUCGCAAUGAUUGCUAAGUAUGCUUGCACUAACUAUGAUAAUGCUAGACUAUAUAGUUGAGAAUAACUUAGGAAAUAUUCUUGUAGUUUGUUCUAAUUCCAUGCUAAUGACUUUCUAGAGUAUCUAAUUGAGGUGCUUAUCAUAUUUAUUAUGUGGCUAAGUUAUGCUGAUUAGAUUAAUUAUCUUUGUCACUAUUCAUUACUUCAUAUAUCUUUUAUGUGACACUUAUCCCUGUAUGAAAGAAUUAGAUACAAUGUUCUCAAUUAUACAUGCAAUGAUAGAUACUCAAUCUCAUAUUCUAUUCUAUUAUUAGUAUUGAUGAUUGCUAAUCCCUUCCCAGUGGUAAAAAUAUAAAUAACGAUACCUGAAAUACUUCCCGAUUAAAAUGCUACAUCGGUAUUAAUCUGUGCGCUUGCAGAUCCCAUUCGUUAUUUAUUUAGAAGAGCAAUUGCAUAUUUCAAUACCGCGUCUCUCAUGUCAUGCUGGGGAUGAUAACUUAGCUUAAGUGGUAUGAGGGAUAGGUUUGGCAUUUUUGGCACCAUUAAUAGAAUUAGAAAACUAAGUCUACUUUUGGUAAUGAUGUUAAGAAUACCCAACAAAGCGGAACAUGGACGACUCCUAGAACAGCAACAAAAGUGGAACCAGGACCACGCCACUGCAGUACAAGAACUGAGACAAGACACCAUGACAAUGAACGACAACAUCACCACCAUGAUGCGAUUCUGGAACAUUGGGUAAGACCGACAACCACAUCCAGCUUGGGGGAGUUCCUCCCUAUUUUAUCAAGUAAGUUUUUAUUUGCCCUUCUUAUUUAUUCUUUUAUGUUUUAAUGUUUUAUUUUAAAGAGAAAAACUUAGAAAACCUAAUAAAUAUUUUCUUGCUUUAAUUUACUGCAUUCUAUAAACAUGAAAACAAAAUAAAAAGAGUGUGUAGAUAAGUGUGCUUAUUUAUCUGCCAAGUGUUAAUCUCUAGAAAAAUAAAAAGACCAAAAAGAUGCUUGAUGGAAAUGACGAACAGAUGCUCUGUUUACUUACUUUCGAGUACCUAGCUUUUAUAUUAGAGUCUUCUAGAAAUUACUAAAAACUAAAAUUUAAUAUCUAUGGGAAGCAUGAACCUAAAACUAUAGUCUAGGUAAGAGAAGGACAUGAUAUAAAGUUUGAGCUGUUGUUUAUCUUGUUCCUACUGCACUGAGUUUUGGAGAUUUAUUUUGAAAACUUGCAAAUGACAUGAUGAGUUCCUAGCAUGACAAAAUUCCUACCACAGCCAUACUUGCAAUAACAUCUUUUACUUAUAUUCACAUUAAGUUUGAUCGAGCUGUGUAGACCCUUAGGACUUUUCAUGUGGUUAAAUUAAGAUAUUCACUGGCACACAUCUACUACACCAUCCGCCACCAUUCAUUAAAAUCUGUUAAAAAUAUUAUCACUCACUAUCCCAAGUGUUGUUAUUCUCUCUCUCCAAAAAAGAUUCAAUGCAGAAGAGACAUGGGUUAUGCAAAAAUAUACAAGGAAAUAAAAAGGGGCAAGUGCCCGGAACCUCGAAAAACAAAGAAAGAGAGUGAGACGAGAGGUAAAAAUGGACAAGUGUUCGGAGUAGAAUUAGGGGUAGAAAGAAGCCCAUCUAAGCGGAAAAAAUGGACAAGUGUCUGACAGUAGAAUUAGGGGUAUUUACUACCCAUCUAAAAACAAGAAGAGAAAAAGAGAGAUAGCCCAUGUUCUCCGAAGGCAAAGAUCAAGAGAGGAGGAGAGAUAGCAAUAUGAGGAGCAAUGAGAAGUAAGUUUUAUCAUCACUUAUACAUUUAUACCAUCACUAUCAUUUACUCCACCACACAUGCACAUCUUGAUUUAAUUAUAUGUUGAGUUCCUUUGGAUCCAUGGCUCGUUUAGACAACAUAUGUAUGAGCUAUUUUUCACACCUAUGAGCUCCACUUAAAUAUUCCAUUAGCUAUAGGUAGGUGACAUCUUUGUAAGGAUCCACAAAUACCACAUAUAGAGAGACUUGAGAGAAUCAUACCUGGGAACUCUGAGCCUUAUUUUUGAAAAUCUAUGCAAAACUCCGAAGAAAGGUGAAGUAUAGACAGGAGGAAUAGUGCUUGACUUAUUUAUUUUGUAUUUCAAUUACUUAAGACUUAAGUGCAGGUAUUAAGCCUCAUGACACUUCACUCUAAUCUGGAAGAAUUUUUAUGAAAGCAUGUGUGCCUGACAGGAAAGAAAACAUCAAAGCAACUCCUGAUCCAUCUGAGUUUAGCUGUUUGCUCAGGGACGAGCAAGGGGUAAGCUUGGAGGAGUUUGUUGACGGUCCUUAAGUAUCAAAUUUAAUUAUCAAAUAAACAAAGAAAGGAUCCAAAUGCAACCAACACCCAGACUUAGGGUUUUAUCUGACAGAAUUCCAUGAGUUUUGGUGUUUGUCUAUUUCUACAGGGGGUUAUCAGGAAAUAUGGAGAGAAGGCCCACAUGUCAUGUUUACAACGAGAUAAUUACGUGCCGUGCAAUUUUACUUAAUCUAGAAGAGUCCAGAAGCCAUGGGAACCAAUGGGAGACCGGACGGGCUCGGGGGCAGGGCGCCCGCCCUCCCCCCUUGGGCGCCUGUUCUGGCCUUGGGGCCAAUCACAACCAAUCUCACGGAUUAUGCUCCACCGACCUAAAGGAUCAAGGAAAACCGUGCGAUCAAUGUCGGUUUGAUCCGACGGCCCAAAUUCACUUGAAAGGACUAUAUAAGCAAGGCCUCUCCACCCCAGGAGGAGAGAGGAAAAUCAUUAUCAGAGGAAGCCAUCAAAGUUAGGGUUUUAGAUCUUCUCUCCCACAGAGAAUUAGAAUUAGUUACUCCCUAAUCCUUCAAGUUUAGAGGAUUGAUUAGAUAGAAUUAGAGAAGUAGAGCCUAGCGCUCUAGAUUCGGAUCUUCGUUAAUAAAUAUUGGUAUUAUUUCAUAUCUUUCUCUACUACUUUAUUCUAAUUGCAUUAUAUCUCUAUUUAUUAUGCUCUUAGUUUGCUCUAGUUCUAUAUUUGAUAUAGUUAUGAUUGAUAAUGAGUUUUUGUAUAAAUUUGCAAAGCGCUUAGCUCUUAACACGUGGGAGUUAAGUGGUAGAUCACAUGUAGGCGUGGUGCUUAGAUGUUAUUUACCUGCAAAUGUAUCCUAUUAGCCGGGCCAUGUGGUAGUUCGCGAUAGUGACAACUUCAUUGAUUCUUAUAUAGUCCACCCUCCGUUGAUAGGACAGGCAGAAUUUGUAUCGCGGAGUAAGUCUUGCGAUGCUCUAAUUUACUUUAGCAAUGUUCCUUAUACAUGAAUGGACAGUCUUUUAUGCUAUAUAUGAUCUUGUAGAUAACAAGAGUAGAUUUUGACUUAGUAGAUAGUAGAUAACUUAGAAUCCAUUCUCUAGCUAAUCAAGCGUCACCUUACAUAUAUGAGGAGUAGUCUAAUUUCUAAUCGCUGUGUUAUUUACCCAUGAGCUUAGAUUUCAUUAUCAUUAUUAUUAUGGCUUACCCCCUACCAAAAUAAGUGACUGUGUGACGAGUUCCUCAUUAGUAAUUAUGUUCUUGCAAGUUUAUCUCUAGUCUAUGCCUUGAUAGAUUUUAUUUAUCUCCACCGUUCUCUUAAGCAAAAAUAUAAAUAACGAUAUCCGGAAUACUUUUCCUCGUGAAAUGCUACAAUGAGGUAUUUUAUCUGUGCACUUGCGGAUAGAAUAGAUUAUUUUAUAGAGAGCCAUUACAUUCAUAAUUACCUUUGUACACUCUGGCACCAUGCUGGAGAUGACAACCUAGUAUCCAAGUGGUGUUAGUAAGUGUCAACACCCCCCAGUCCCCACUGUGCCUCAACCUAAUGAGAACCUACCUCUACAUUGCAACAACUGAUCGAGUCAUUUCUACAGUGCUUGUAGUAGAACGAGACGAACCAGGCCACGUCUAUAAUGUCCAGCGACCAAUAUACUUCAUAAGCAAAGUUCUAAAUGAGUCCAAGACUAGGUACCCCCAGACACAGAAGUUAAUCUACGCUAUUCUAAUCACUUCCAUGAAGUUGAAGCAUUAUUUUGACGGCCAUCGCAUCAUAGUAACUACAAGUUUCCCAAUGGGGGAUAUCCUGCGCAAUAAGGACGCCAACGCUAAAACUAUAAAAUGGGCCAUGGAGCUAUGCCUCUUUUUGAUGGAUUUCCAGAGUCGUACGACUGUUAAGUCUCAAGCCCUGGCCGAUUUCAUUGCAGAAUGGACAGACCUCAACGCACCACCUGCCCUGGAUAUCUCCGACCACUGGUUAAUGUUUUUUGAUGGGUCUUUAAAUAUCAAUGGUGUCGGCGCAGGGAUCCUUUUCGUUUCACCAAACAAGGACAAACUACGUUAAGUCCAUAGAAUCCUUUUCCCCGCGUCUAACAACGUGGCCGAGUAUGAAGCGUGCUUACACGGCAUACAACUGGCCGUGUAAUUAGGAGUCAAGCGCCUUUACGUCCACGGCGACUUCGCCCUGGUCAUCAACCAGCUAAAUAAGGAGUGGGACACAACUCAUGAGAAAAUGGACCUGUAUUGCAAGGAGAUCCGCAAAGAUGCAAAUGCGCUGUCUGAGACAUGACUCAUGAAUUUUUAUGGAAUCGAGUACAUACACAUAGUCCAGGACAAGAAUCAAGCAGCAGAUGCGCUAUCAAAGAUAGGAUCAUCCCGAGCCUAGAUUCUGCAAGGCGUUUUCAUCCAUGAUAUUGACAAACCAAGCGUCGGAGGCGACCUGGUCAAUAAGACAAACAGCGAGUAGCAGCAAUGACUAGCGCACACCUUUCAUCAAGUAUCUCCUAGAUGGUACCGGUUUUCAAGACAAUACAAAGAAUGAAUGCCUCAUCCGACGAUCUAGAAACUACACACUGGUCGACGGUCGACUUAUGCGCAAGAACGCCAAUACAAAAGUCUUGCUAAAGUCCAUCACCCAAGAUUAUGGCACUAAGAUGCUAGAAGACAUACAUGCUGGAUCCUGUGGCACUCAUGCAACCUCUCGAACGCUGGUCAGAAAGGCUUUCCAAGCAGGAUUUUAUUGGCCGUCUGCUAUGGCCGACGCUAAGAAGCUGGUCCAACGAUGUGAGGUUUGUUAGUUCUUCACCAAGAGGACUCACAUACCGGCUCACGAAAUCCAGACGAUACCAUCAUCAUGGCCAUUCACCUGCUAGGUGUUGGGUAUUUUAAACGCAAACAGAAAAAUCCGCAAGCGCACGGAUACCGAUGUAGCCUUCACCCGGGAGUAUUCCAGAGUAUCGAUUUUCCACAGAGAACGUGAGUGUACUAAUUAAGAUCUAAGAUCGCCUAAGGAUAACUAUAUAAUUGUUUUUCGUGGGAAGAGAGGAAGUUUCCUGAGAGUUCUCUAGUUGAUAUAAGAAUCAAGAAUUACUUCAAGAUUAUCUAUAUCGGGACAUCAGAGCACUAACCACAGAAAGAGAUGAGAAGGGGGCUAGGAAGGUCUGACUACGGUCCUACAAACACCGAUCCGAACAUGGUGGAAUACGUCGACCGUUAGGGCUGUCACUACCCUAGGGCUACCACAACAAUACGUGGGAUUGGGUGCAAUUCCAAGUAAUUGCAAGACUAAACACCACGUCUAAUCUAUUAAUUACUACUCUAGCGUUAUAAAGACUAGAGCACUUGAUGCAAGCGGGAAUCCAAUAAAUAACUUGAAUGUAAAUAAACGUAAUUAAAGAACUCAGGAAUUAUGAAUUGAAGAACCUGGAGAACGAUGAAGAACGAACCAGUUGCUGCAAAAGUACAAUGUUGAGGAAGAUCCGACAGAUCCGGCUCCUCCUUCUCCGCUCUCCUCUUCUCUCUCCCUAUUUUCUAGAUUACAACUAGAACUAACUAGAACUAGAACAAGAAGAACUAGAACUAGAACUAGAUGAACUAGAGGUAGAACUAGAAGAACUAGAGGGAUCCUCUCUACUUGGAUGAAGAAUUGAAACCCUAACUUUGAUUUUGUAGAAGAGGUAUGAUCUCCAAGGGCCAGGAGGGUCUGGUUUUAUAGUCCCUUUAAGUGAAUCUGGGCUGUCGGAUCAAACCGACAUUGAUUGAACGGUUAUUGUUGAUCCUUUAGGUCGGUGGAGCAAUAUCCCGAAAGAGAGUCCUGAUUGGACUCUGGCUGAGGGCGGGCGCCCAGGAAAGGAGGGCGGGCGCCCUGUCCCUGUGUCCUCUCGGCCUCCGCUUCGGUCCCGUGGCUUCUGGAGUCUUCUGGAUGAUAGAAAACUGCGCGGCACGUUAAUAUCUCUAUGUAAACCCGACGUGUGGGCCUUUCUUCCGUAUUUCCUGAUAACCCCCUGCAGAAAUAGACAAACACCAAAACUUGUGGAAUUCUGUCAGAUAAAACCCUAAGUCUAGGUGUUGGUUGUAUUUGGAUCCUUUUCUAUGAUUAGUUGAUGGUUAAUUGUGAGCAUUAAGGACCGUCAACACUAGGGCCUAGACAUGAUUGGGCCAUUCGAACCAGCUCCCGUGUUGACGGUCCUUAAUGCUCACAUUUAACCGUCAACUAAUCAUAGAAAAGGAUCCAAAUGCAAUCGACACGUAGACUUAGGGUUUUCUCUGACAGAAUUCCAUGAGUUCUGGUGUUUGUCUAUUUCUGCAGGGGGUUAUCAGGAAAUAUGGAGAAAAGGCCCACACAUUGGGUUUACCAAGAGAUAUUAACGUGUGCGUCAAUUUUCUAUCAUCUAGAAGACUCCAUAAGGCACGGGAACGAACGGGAGGCUGAGCAGUCCCAGGGGCAGGGCGCCCGCCCUCCCCCUUGGGCACCCACCCUGCCCUGGUGACCAAUCAGGGAAGGUCUCAAGGAUCAUGCUACACCGCCUUUGAGGAUCAAGGAAAACCGUGCGAUUAAGGUCGGUUUGAUCUGACGGCCCACGUUCAUUUGGAAGGGCUAUAUAAGUCGGCCCCCUGGCCACUGGAGAACAUACCUCUUCUACAGAAUCAAAGGUAGGGUUUCAAUUAUUCAUCCAAGUAGAGAGGAUCCCUCUAGUUCAUCUAGUUCUAGUUCUAGUUCAUCUAGUUCUAGUUCUAGUUAGUUCUAGUUGUAAUCUAGAAAAUAGGGAGAGAGAAGAGGAGAGCGGAGGAGCCGGAUCUGUCGGAUCUUCCUCAACAUUGUACUUUUGUAGCAACUGGUUCGUUCUUCAUCGUUCUCCAAGUUCUUCAAUUCAUAAUUCCUGAGUUCUUUAAUUACUUUUAUUUACAUUCAAGUUAUUUAUUGGAUUCCCACUUGCAUCAAGUGAUCUAGUCUUUGAAACGCUAGAGUAGUAAUUAAUAGAUUAGACGUGGUGUUUAGUCUCGCAAUUACCUAGAAUUAGACCCAAUCCUGCGAAUUGUUGUGGUAGCCCUAGGGUAGUGACAGCCCUAACGGUCGACGUAUUCCACCUCGUUCGGAUUGGUGUUUGUAGGACCGUAGUCACAGCUUCCUAUGGUUAGUGUUCAGAUGUCCCAAAAUACAUAAUCUUUGAAGUAAUUGUUGAAUCUUAGAUCAACUAGAGAACUGUCAGGAAACUUCCUCUCUUCUCACCAAAAAUAAUUAUAUAGUUAUCCUUAGGCAAUCUUGAAUCUUAAUUAGUACACUCACGUUCUCUGUGGAAAAUCGAUACUCUGGAAUACUCCCGGGUGAAACUUACAUCGAUAUCCGUGCGCUUGCAGAUUUUUCUGUUUGCGUUUAAAAUACCCAACAAGCUUUCUGGCACCGUUGCCGGGGAACGGUAGCUGUGCUAGUUUCGAACCAAGUCGUCCGUGUAUCCUUUUUUCUUUUCCUUUCUUUACCACACUCACCUUACCAUUUUCACCAUACCACAUGGAUUUCACUCCAAACAUUAAUGAGCAUGGAAUUUAUUUCAUAGCCACUUCGUUUACUCCAUGCACAUAUGCAACAUCUUCCCAAUCUAUUGGUCUCUCCAACAUCACCACAUUCGAGAUCUCCAACCCCCUCCUCCUUUCUAUUUAUAAAAACUUUAAAAGGCCGGUUGUCGAUGCAUAUGUCUAAAAAAUAUUGCAGAUCUCGUUGAGUUGAUCUUGAUAUAGGUCAGCGUUAGAGGGGAAACCACUUCGUCGACAUAAAUUGAUGGUUUCCCAAGGACAAGCUUAGUGUCCUAAAAUAAGCACUGAUCAGAUCAUAACAUGAGCUUUUAAUUAUUUGCAACAUUACCUUGUGUAUCGAGCAUAUAAGGAUAAUUGUAAAAAAUUCCUUUGGGCAUUCUUGUCACUAACCUUUCCAGGAUUGGAGCAAGAAGAUCGAAUGAAUGACAAGCACAAGUUAUGUCCAACCAAUCAUCAUACAACAUUGAAUUAAAUUCAUCCAAACCUGAAUUUUGCAAAAUUCAAGCUUUGGAGAGUACUUUACAUAAAAACAUCCUUUGCCAUGUUGCUAUGUUGGUUGUCCCUACCUUUGAGACAUGCUCAAUUUGUUAAAUACUAAUCACACUACUUCAUCUCCACUUGAGUAGAUCUCUAUAAAUGCUCUCAUGCUACCUUUAUUUACUUUACUAUAUGUCUAGGUUUGGAAUUGUUUUAUUUAUCUCUUAAUUAAGCAUGGUGCUUAGUUUAGGAAUGAUGAUCUUACUUCAUAGGGAUUUUAAAUUAAGAAUAGUGCUUAGGUUAAAAUGCCCUCCUAAAUCAAAUUAGACAUGGUGUCUAUGUUGAUUUUUGAGCCGAUAGUAUGUUAUAGUAGAUAUUGGAUAUUUUGUUGAACUAACCUCUGCAGGAAAACUUUCAAUAUCGACCUAGGAAGUCCUGAGAUAAACUCACAUUGGAGACAAAGAGAGAGAGACACAUGAAGUUUAACAAUUUACACAAGGAAGGAAUAGCUCACAAGAGAUGUUCCGUGGAGGGUGCCAGAAACACGAUGCAUAACCGCUAAGAAAGGAACGCUUCCACAAGGUGAUACUGUUCCAUCACUCUUCAAGUAAGGUAACAUCUUAAGGUACUUAACUAUCACUUUUAUAAGCUUCUCCUUAGUUCUGGCGUUCACAUGAAUAAAAGAGACAAACAUGUAUGAUUUACAACUCUAGAUUAACCAACCCAAUCGAUUCAACAUGUUUAGUCCUUGCACCUUUGUGAUCCCACACUCCUAAUCAUAUGAGCUAAAAUGUUGCACACACAAUCUUUGGAAGAUAUAUAAAAAAACAUAAGUAUAGAUAGAUUAUCUUUCCAUUAGGUUGAGUGAUCUGAUCUGACAAAUGUUCUAAAUGCUACACUCAUGAUCCAUCAACUUUGUCUUGCUCACUAUGCUUAAGGUUAUAGAAGAACAAAUACACUUUUGGUUUUGUUGGUGUUUUCCACCAACAGGGCCCAUGCACUUGAUCUCUGCCUUGUCUCUAUGAGCAGGUACACUUCGAGCAAAAUAUGAAGGUGUUUUACAACUCCCAGACUCCACCAAGUGAAGAACCUGGAUCUACGAGCACAAGCACACUGGAGAUACUGGACACUCAAGCAAUCACUGCCCUGAGAUGCUUGAGGACGUAAACUACAUCAUCAACAACAACAACAACAACUACAACCGUCCUCAACAAAAUCAAGGUUGGAAUCAACAGAAACCUAACUACUCAGGUAAUUAUCAUGGUAAUAAUUCUUACAAUAAUAAUAAGAAUUUUCUACCUCUGAGAGAGUUAGUGUCUAAUAAAGGAAAGCUAAUGGAUAACCUAUCUAAGAAAUUGGCAUCUAAUGUUAAAAUGUUAGAAAAUAUAAAUAAUAGAAUGGAUAAUUUCUCUACUGCCAUCAAAAAUUAAAUUAGCUUUAAUAAAAUGAUUGAAUCUUAGUUAAAUCAAAUAGCUGUUGCUGUUCCUACUACUAACCCCGGUAUACCAUCACAACCAGAAGAAUUAGAAUCUGCAAAUCUUGUAGACAUGUUUGAGGCAGGUAAAUACUGGAGUAACCCCGUUGUGGAAGUAGUUACUGACGUUCUGCCGGUCAAGGGAGGCGAUCCAGGAUGCCCCGUCAUCCCGAUCUCCAUGGGCAUGGUGGACUUCCCAGAAGCACUCUGCGACUUUGGCUCCAGCGUCAACAUUAUGCCUAGGGUACUCUAUGAAAAAUUCUUUACACAUCCUUUACUAUAAAGAACCAUGUGUUUGCAGCUUGUAGAUCGGACAAUAAGUUUCCCAAAGGGAAUAUUGAAGAACCUCUGCUUCCGAGUUGGUACAUUGUACGCCCCAGAAGACUUCGUGGUGAUAGAGACUGGUACUGAUGAGAGGGCACCCAUCAUCCUAGGGAGGCCAUUCCUGAACACCUUGGGAGCUGUCAUCUACGCUAGUGCUGCCAAGAUCAGUUUCUACAUCAAGGGGAGGAAGGAGACGUUUUCCUUCAAGAACAAGACUACACAAAUCUCAGAGCAAUCCCGACAUGAACCAAGGAAGAGGACCAACAGGAGGAACAUGAACAAGCAAAUGUGGACCGAGUCAGCUAAGAUGGUCACUGCAGUUCAAGGUGGUCAAGAUCAUCGACUUAAGUCACCGUUCCUGACCAAAAAGGACGACCCAGGUAUGCCAAGCAUCUAGUGCUCCAUUAAUGGAUAGAACUUCUAGAAGACGCUUUGCGACACCGGGUCAGGCGUCAACAUAAUGGCCGCAGUCACCUAUCAUCUCCUGUUCGGAACCAUGCCCCUAAAACCGACAUACAUUCAGCUCCAGAUGGUAGAUCAGACAUUCCGAAUUGUUCAAGAUAUAGUAACUGAUGUCCCUGUCAAAAUAGACGAUCAUUUUGUCCAUACAGAUUUUCAGGUUAUUGACAUGGGAGAAGACGAGUACGAUCCACCCAUCAUCCUUGGGAGACCGUUCCUCAGCACCGUUAAACCAAUCAUCUACAUUUGAACCAGAGAAGUCCACAUGCACUUCCCCUCUGAGAAGGUACGCCGCUAUUUUACUGACCCUAACUAUAUAGUUGAAGACUCUAAGCAGGUCAGGACCUGAAGAAGACGAGGCAACCGCAACCAGAGGAGGCAAAUCAUAAAGGAUGGAUGGGCAGACUACGAAGGAGAAGUGGUAAGGUCUAAGACAUACAACUUGAAUAGAACUGUCCUGAGGAGAGCGUAGCACCGAGUCAGGUGUGGAGAGAGAAGAUAGUUAUACACGAAGAGGAGGCGCCGCCGGAACCAUCGACUACGCCAUCCGACGAAUCCCAAGACGACUGAGAAAACGGAGAGUCCCGUUUGGAUGACUUAAAAACACCGAACGCCUUGCCAAGAGGUAAACUUGGUAGUUAUCCUUUUCCUUUCAAUUAUUUAAAAUAAUUUGCUUAGUUAUUCAGGUUCAUAUCAUCUUGAAAAGAAAAUAAAAAUGUUAAAAAUAGUAAGCCCCAUGUGAGUAUGCUCAUGGCAUAAAACCCAUAAGUACAUUCACUGUGGUAGUGUAAAAAUAAAAUAAAUAUAUUCCUGUCCUAUAAAAAUGAAAAUAUAAAAAUAAAUUUAUGAUCCUACCAAAGAGAGUAAUAUUUAAUAGAGGAAGCUCAACAUGAUAACGGCUAAGAGAUUUUAUGCUAACACUUAACCAGUUCCACAAAGCUUGGUUGUCUAUUUGAGCUCCACAAAAUUCAACGAUCAAAGAAGACUAGCAGACGGAGGACAUCCUAAUCGCUGUCAGGGUGCUGCCGACAUGCAAAUACACCUCUGCCACCUGCUAGCUGCAUCAGAAGAAAUUACGUCAAAAUCCGCCUUGGGGGAGAGCACCCCCAUUUAUCCAGCUAAGUGUUCUACUCACGUUUAUACUUUACUCAAAUAAUAAAAAGAUGCAUAACCAUAAAAACCCAAAUAAAGAUUUUGUGCUUAUAUAUAUAUAUAUCUUUGCUUAGUUUGCUAAAUAAAUAAAUAAGUAAAGUUUGCUAUGAACCCUCAUGAUAAGCUCUCAUAUGGAAAUGAUGAAUAGUUGCUCUACCAUGACUAGUUCUCAAAAUUGAAAUCUCUCUCAAGUUUAGGCAUGACUGUUAUUAAUUAAGAAUUGCUCUAAACCUGAACUUGUGGGAAGAGUACUUGAUCUAAAGUUUAAGUUGUUAACGGAUAUGAUAUGGGAAGGUUGACCUACUAUUUAUCUGUUCCUAGAGUUGCUAGAAUUCUUGAGAAUUUUAUAUUUGAAAAUCUUUAAAAAUGUUGCAUGAUGAGUUCCUGUAUGAUGAGAGUUUAAAAUACUACCACAGCCAUAUAUACAUGCUUAGUAGACUAUGAACCAUACAUUUACUUUUUACUGCUUAUGAGCAUUGUGUGUGGUCAAGUUGUGUAGAACCUUAGGAGCUUGUCAUGUGGUCAAAAUCAAGAUUCUAUUGCACGUUCACUCAUACAUGCUGCUUGUACUCCAGAAGUACGCAUCCACAUAUAUCCACUCAUUUCCAUAUCCAGAUUCACCCAAAAUUAUUCUACUUCUAUCUAGGAGAGAAUAGCCAAAAACAUUAUCCUAUCCCUAUUAUUCCCCGUGAAAUAAAUGCUCGAGAUAUUAUGGUUACUACCACUUGCUACAUUAUUUCAGGAGGGUGAGUGCUCUAAAAAAAGAAGUGAAUACGAGGAAAUAAAAAGGGGCAAGUGCCCGAAACCUCGAGAAAGAAAAAAAGAGAAAAAGUGAGACAAGAGGUUAAAAUGGACAAGUGUCCGACAAUAGAAUUAGGUGUACAAGAUACCCACCUGAGUGAAAAGAAAAAUAAAAUAUAGAGCAUCUCAUUCCCCUCAAAAGCCUCAAGUGCAAGGAAGAUAUGUACCCCCUCAAAAGAGCAAAAGAAAAAUCAGACUUUCACCAUUAUUUUCACCAUUAUCACCAUUCAUUCGCCACACAUGCACAUCUUGAUUUGACUUAUUGGCUUGUGCUUCUGGAUCCAUGGUUUGACUAUGCAAUAAAUGUCUUUUAAGUAUGUAUUAGCUGUCAACCACCUAUGAGCUCCAAAUAUCAAAACCUUAUUAGAGUAGGGUGAGAGAGAAGGCAAUGCCACUAUGCCUCAUAUCAAAAAUACCACAUACUUUGAGAGAAGGCAUACACCGUUACUGCCUUGGUAAGGAUCCAGAAAUACCACAAAACAGAGACUAGAGAGAGUCAUACAAGGAAUCUCUGAGUUUUAUUUGAAAAUCUGCAAAAUCUCCAGAGCUAUAGUUAAUCGAAGAACAAGAGACAUGGCGCUUGACUAGACCGUUCUAUUUUUUAACUGCUCAAGACACAAGUGACCCAUGGUGGAAGAAAAAUUGAGUAAGUUUAUGUCUUAGCAGUUUACCCUAACCCAGAGAUGAGAUCUUGUUUGAACACAUGUGUACCUUUAAAGCAUGAAACCACUGCAGAAACUCUUGAGUCCAUCAUUGGUCAGGGAUGAGCAAAGGUUAAGCUUAGGGGAGCUUGUUGACGGUCCUUAAUGCUCACAUUUAACCGUCAACUAAUCAUGGAAAAGGAUCCAAAUGCAACCGACACCUAGACUUAGGGUUUUAUCUGACAGAAUUCCACGAGUUUUGGUGUUUGUCUAUUUCUGCAGGGGUUAUCAGGAAAUAUGGAGGAAAGGCCCACACGUCGGGUUUACAUAGAAAUAUUAACGUGUGCGCCAAUUUUCUAGCAUCUAGAAGACUCCAGAAAUCACAGGAACGAACGGGAGGCCGAGCGGGCCCGGGGGCAGGGCGCCCGCCCUGCCCUGGUGACCAAUGUUGACUGUCCUUAAUGCUCAUAAUUAACCAUCAAUUAAUCAUGGAAAAGGAUCCAAAUGCAACCAACACCUAGACUUAGGGUUUUAUCUGACAGAAUUCCACGAGUUUUGGUGUUUGUCUAUUUCUGCAGGGGGCUAUCAGGAAAUAUGGAGGAAAGGCCCACACGUCGGGUUUACAUAGAGAUAUUAACGUGCCGUGCAAUUUUCUAUCUUCUAGAAGACUCCAGAAGCCACGGGAACAAACCGGAAGCCGAGAGGACUCAGGGACUGGGCACCUGCCCUCCUCUCCUGGGCGCCCGUCCUCACCUAGAGUCCAAUCAGGACUCCAUUUCGGGAUAUUGCUCCAACGACCUAAAGGAUCAAGGAUAACUGUUCAAUCAAUGUUGGUUUGAUCCAACAACCCAGAUUCAUUUGAAAAGACUAUAUAAGCAAGGCCCCCUGGCCCCUGGAGAUCAUACCUCUGCUACAGAAUCAAAGUUAGGGUUUCAAUUCUUCAUCCAAGUAGAGAGGAUCCCUCUACUUCUUCUAGUUCUACCUCUAGUAGAGAUCUAGUUCUUCUAGUUCAUCUAGUUCUAGUUCUAGUUCCUCUAGUUCUAGUUCUAGUUAGUUCUAGUUGUAAUCUAGAAAAUAGGGAGAGAGAAGAGGAGAGCGGAGGAGGAGCCGGAUCUGUCGGAUCUUCCUUAACAAUGUACUUUUGCAGCAACUGGUUCGUUCUUCAUCGUUCUCCAAGUUCUUCAAUUCAUAAUUCCUGAGUUCUUUAAUUACUUUUAUUUACAUUCAAGUUAUUUAUUGGAUUCCCGCUUGCAUCAAGUGCUCUAAUCUUUGAAACAUUAGAGUAGUAAUUAAUUGAUUAGAUGUGGUGUUUAGUCUUGCAAUUACCUGGAAUUGCACCCAAUCCUGCAGAUUGUUGUGGUAGCCUUAGGGUAGUGACAGCCCUAACGGUCGACGUAUUCCACCUCGUUCAGAUCGGUGUUUGUGGACCAUAGUCAGACCUUUCUAGCCCCCUUCUCAUCUCUUUCCGUGGUUAGUGCUCUGAUGUCCCGAUAUAGAUAAUCUUGAAGUAAUUCUUGAUUCUUAGAUCAACUAGAGAACUCUCAGGAAACUUCCUCUCUUCCCACCAAAAAUAAUUAUAUAGUUAUCCUUGGGCGAUCUUGGAUCUUAAUUAGUACACUCACGUUCCCUUUGGAAAAUCGAUACUCUGGAAUACUCCCGGGUGAAAGCUACAUCGGUAUCCGUACGCUUGCGGAAUUUUCUGUUUGCGUUUAAAAUACCCAACAAGUUUUCUGGCGCCGUUGCCGGGGAACGGUAGCUGUGCUAGUUUCGAACCAAGUCGUCCGUGCAUCCUUUUUCUUUUCCUUUUUUACCACACUCACCUUAUCAUUUUCACCAUACCACAUGGAUUUCACUCUAAGCAUUAAUGAGCAUGGAAUUUAUUUCAUAGCCACUUCAUUUACUCCAUGCUCAUAUGCAACAUCUUCCCAAUCCAUUGGUCUCUCCAACAUCACCACAUUCAAGAUCUCCAACACCCUCAUCCUUUCUAAAAGAUCGGUUGUCGAUGCAUAUGUCUAUAUUAAAUAUUGCAGAUCUCGUUGAGUUGAUCUUGAUAUAGGUCAGCGUUGGAGGGGAAACUACUUCACUGACAUAAAUUGAUGGUUUCCCAAGGACAAGCUUAGUGUCCUAAAAUAAGCACUGAUCAGGUUGUAACAUGAGCUUUUAAUUAUUUGCAACAUUACCUUGUGUGUUGAGCAUAUAAGGAAAAUUGUAAAAAAAGUCCUUCGGGUAUUCUUGUCACUAACCUUUCUAGGAUUGGAGCAAGAAGAUCGGAUGAAUGACAAGCACAAGGUAUGUCCAACCAAUCAUCAUACAACAUUGAGUUAAAUUCAUCCAAACUUGAAUUUUGCAAAAUUCAAGCUUGGGGGAGUACUUUACAUAAAACAUCCUUUGCCAUGUUGCUAUGUUGGUUGUCCCUACCUUUGAGACAUGCUCAAUUUGUUAAAUACUAAUCACACUACUUCAUCUCCACUUGAGUAGAUCUCUAUAAAUGCUCUCAUGCUACCUUUAUUUGCUUUAGUAUAUGUCUAGGUUUGGAGUAGUAUAAUUUAUCUCUUAAUUAAGCUUGGUGCUUAGUUUAGGAAUGAUGAUCUUACUUCCAAGGGGUUUUAAAUUAAGCAUGGUGCUUAGGUUAAAAUGCCCUCCUAAAUCAAAUUAGACAUGGUGUCAAGGUUGAUUUUUGAGCCGAUAAUAUGCUAUAGUAGAUAUUGGAUAUUUUGUAGGACUAACCCCUGUAGGAAAACUUUCACUAUCGACCUGGGAAGUCCUGAGAUAAACUCACAUUGGAGACAAAGAGAGAGGCACAUGAAGUUUAACAAUUUACACAAGGAAGGCAUAGCUCACAAGAGAUGAUCCAUGGAGGGUGCCACAAACACGAUGCAUAACCUCUAAGAAAGGAAAGCUUCCACAAGGUAAUACUGUACCAUCACUCUUCAAGUAAGGUAACAUCUUAAGGUACUUGACUAUCACUUUUAUAAGCUUCUCCUUGGUUCUGGCGUUCACAUGAACAAAAGAGACAAACAUGUAUGAUUUACAUCUUUACAUUAACCAACCCAAUCGAUUCAACAUGUUUAGUCCUUCCACCUUUGUGAUCCCACACUCCUAAUCAUAUGAGCUAAAAUGUUGCACACUCAAUCUUUGGAAGAUAUAUAUAUAAAAAAACAUAAGUAUAGAUAGAUUAUCUUUCCAUUAGGUUGAGCGAUCUGAUCUGACAAAUGUUUUAAAUGCUAUACUCAUGAUAUUAUUAUCCAUCAACUUUGUCUUGCUCACUAUGCUUAAGGUUAGAGAAGAACAAAUACACUUUUGGUUCUAUUGGUGUUUUCCACCAAUAGGGCCCAUGCACUUGAUCUCUGCCUUGUCUCUAUGAGCAGGUACACUUCGAGCAAAUAUGAAGGUGUUUUUCAACUCCCAGACUCCACCAAUUGAAGAACCUAGAUCUACGAGCACAAACACACUGGAAAUACUGAACACUCAGGCAAUCACUGCCCUGAGAUGCUUGAGGACAUAACUACUGGAGUAACCCUAUUGUGGAAGUAAUUACUGACCUUCUGCCGGUUAAGAGAGACAAUCCAGGAUGCCCCGUCAUCCCAAUUUCCAUCGGCAUGGUGGACUUCUCAGAAUCACUCUGCGACUUUGGCUCCAGCGUCAACAUCAUGCCCAGGCUUGCAGAUCGAACACUAAGUUUCCCAAAGGGAAUAUUGAAGAAUCUCUACAUCCGAGAUGGUACUUUAUACGCUCCAGCAGACUUCGUGGUGAUAGAGUCUGAUACUGAUGAGAGGGCACCCAUCAUCCUUGGGAGGCCAUUCCUAAACACCUCGGGAGCUGUCAUCUACGCAAGUGCUGCCAAGAUUAGUUUCUACAUCAAGGGGAAGAAGGAGACGUUUUCCUUCAAGAACAAGACUACACAAAUCUCAGAGCAAUCUCGACAUGAACCAAGGAAGAGGACCAACAGGAGGAACAGGAACAAGCAAAUGUGGACCGAGUCAGCUAAGAUGGUCACUACAGUUCAUGGAGGUCAAGAUUGUCGAUUUAAGUCACCGUUCCUGACAAAAAAGGACAACCCAGGUGUGCCAAGCAUCCAGUGCUCCAUUAAUGGAUACAACUUCCAGAAGACGCUUUGCGACACCGGAUGUCAGAUCAGACAUUUCGAAAGGUUAUUGACAUGGGAGAAGACGAAUUCGAUCCACCCGUCAUCCUUGGAAGACCGUUCCUCAGCACCGUUAAAGCAAUCAUCUACAUUUGAAUCCGAGAAGUCCACAUGCACUGCCCCUCUUAGAAGGUACGCCACUAUUUUAAUGACCUUAACUAUAUAGUUGAAGACUCUUAGCAGGUCAGGACAAGAAGAAGACGACGCAACCGCGAAUAGAGGAGACAAAUCAUUAAGGACGGAUGGGCACACUACGAAGGAGAAGUGGUAAUGUCUGAAGACAUACAGCUUGAACAGAACUGUCCUGAGGAGACCGUAGCACCAAGUCAGGUGUGGAGAGAAAAGAUAGUUAUACACGAAGAGGAGGCGCCGCCAGGAACCACCGACUACGCCAUCCAGCAAAUCCCAAGACGACUAAGAAAACGGAGAGUCUCGUUCGGAGGACUUAAAAACACCGAACGCCUUGCCAAGAGGUAAACUUGGUAGUUAUUAUUUUCCCUUUCAAUUAUUUUAAAAUAGUUUGCUUAGUUAAUCAGGUUCAUAUCAUCUUGAAAAGAAAAUAAAAAUGUUGAAAAUAGUAAGCCCCUUGUGAGUAUGCUCAUGGCAUAAAACCCAUAAGUACAUUCACUGUGGUGGCAUAAAAAUAAAAUAAAUAUUUCUUUUCUGAUUUAUCAAACGAAAAUAUAAAAAAUAGGGAGUAACAUUUAUUAAGAAAGCUCAACAUGAUAAAGGCUAGAUACUUAUUGUGGGUGUAUAAACCCCUAUACCCUUACGGCUAGACUUGGGCCAGUAGGUUUGGCCCAUUACGAGACAAGUUCGAAGCUUGAUCCGACAACUCGGAGUUUCGCGCAAGGAAACAAGAUGUGGAGAUCAAGCAGGAUUCUAGUCGGUUAGAAUAGAAAUGGAUAUCGAACUAUCUAUGGCAAUUGUAAUCGACUAGGAUUAGUUUCUAGAUCUGUAACCCUGCCCUCCGGACUAUAUAAGGAGAGGCAAGGGACCCCCCUAGGACAUCAUUAUUCUCUCAACACAAAUCAAUACAACCAGACGCAGGACGUAGGUAUUACGCCAACCCGGCGGCCGAACCCGGAUAAAAAGCUUGUCCGUGUCUUGCGUCACCAUCGAGUUCGUAGUUUGCGCACCGUCUACCGACAAACUACUACCAUGGGUAUACCCCAAGGUAGACUGCCGACAAGCUUUCAUCGACUUUGGCGCGCCAGGUAGGGGGUGUGCGUACAACUUUUCCGGCGAGCAAGAUGGUCAUCAUUCCAGCUUCCGCGGCCGUGCCUGAAGGCCUCACGUUCACCGUCGGCCAGAUCACGUGGACGACGCACGGCGGCGGUCUCACGACCACGGUUUCGGGAGGAACCCAGAUCCAAUCUGGGAUGACGGUGGCAUCGGCUCCGACCACGCAGAUGCUGGUACAGAGCACCUGACCACCGCUUCUGUGCUACAAGGGAAAGAAGAUCGAUGGCUCGGAUCUCCUCCGUGCCCUUGAUCGCCCUGAUUUCAAGCUUCUCGAAGCUUCCCGACUAGUAGAUGGGAUCUCGCGCCAGCCUGAUCAAGCCGCACCAACGGAUUUUUUCAACUCCUACCGGCCAACUCGUGUCGUCACACACGAACGGCUGGGAACGUCUCUGAUGAUAACCUCAACCCCCUCAGGACGGUCCGUCAAGAUCGAGGCUGAUCCGGAGGAAGAUUAUCCUUGCGGUCUGAACAACUCGGCCUCUCUCUACUCGCGGCACAUCCAACCCCUUUUUCACAAGGCUGGUUGGUUGCCAAAGUGGAGCGGUCGACCAGCUCGUCACUACGUCAACAUGGUGACGAUCCGAGAACUACGGGACGGCCAGGCUUCCAGCACAAAUUCGAGCACUGGUUCCGUGCCCACUGAAGUCAUAAACUCCGAGGAUGAGGACUACGACCUGGAUUUGCCACCAUAUCCUUCGGGUUUCUCUCGUUUCCUGGUCUUCCCACCCCGGCGAGGAGACCUCGUUUUCAACGUCAGCGCCGACGAGUUGGUUGUUGAUGGAGAAACAGACGAGCAGAGGCAGCUCCGCGAGCAGCGCAAUGCCGACCACGCCCGACGACGCGCGGACGAGGAACGCCAAGUCCCGCCGCAUAAUCUCACCGACGCUUUCGACAUGGUCGGGGAUCAGCCAGUCUACAAAACGCCAAGCGCCAAUGUGGCUGUCGCCAUGGCCAAUUUAGAUCAACUCCCCGAUAUUCCCGAGUGCCAGGGCAUCCGAUCCAGCGUUCGAGCGCAUCUGAUCGCUGCGAUGGGACAGACAGCCACUCUGCUCAAAAGAGUCCAAGCCAUCUCCUAUACAGAGGUCUCCUCUGACCAGACCCACCACAGUCAGACCUCACCACAGCCCAGUAGGCACCACCGCAGCCAUUCCCCCAACAAUCAUCGAAAAGAUUCACGGCGUGACGACGGCGGUCGGGACGCUGGCCGUCACCGUGUGCAGAAUCGCGGGCGUGGUCAAGAAGUAAACCAGCACAGGGAUCUUCGAUACAACAUCCCUCCCAAAGACGCCCGGGACCACAUCAACAGGCGCGCCACGGAAAGAGCAGUUCACGAAAACCUGCGUCCUAUUGAGUACGAUGCAACGCACGGCCCCCCGGGUCUGAGACAUUUCUCCUCACACCUCCGCCAAGUCGUGUGGCCUCGCAAUUUAAAGCUCGAGAAACUCAAAAAAUAUGAUGGCAAGGAAAACCCAGAAAACUGGAUCACUCUAUAUGAGAUCACCGUCCGGUCAGCAGCAGGAGAUGAGCACGUCAUGGCCAACUACUUCCCGGUCGUCCUCGACCAGGCCGGUCACUAGUGGCUCCUAGGCCUGCCCGAGGACUCUUUUGACUCCUGGGAAGAAUUACGCUAAGCAUUCAUCGACAAUUUUAUCGCUACCUACGAACAGCCCGGGAACAAAUAUGACCUCGAAAGGAUACGGGACAGGAAGAACGAGCCACUGCGUGACUACAUCCAACGAUUCUCGGAUAUGCGCCUUAAGAUCCCGAAAAUUUCCCAUGACGAGGCCAUAUCUGCUUUCAUAAAAGGGCUGCGCUUCCACGAAGCACUGAGGAACAAGCUACUGCACAAAAGGCCAACAACGAUGGCCAAGCUUCUUGCCACGGCUGAAAACUACGCCUACGCCGACGACGCAGAAAAACUCAUUCGGGAUGACGCGAGAGGACCCAACCAGCCUCCUCGACGAGACGAUAGUCGUGGUCGCUUCAACAACAGGAACCAUCGUCGCCUCGACAACCGCGAUCAUAGGGAAGGUUGGCGACGCGACAAUCGCGACGACUUCAGAGGAAAGCGCCCCCGCGACCACGACCACGAGGUGAAUACAGUCAAGCGCCCCAACAGGCGGCAGGAUUACCAAGAAGACUACAACAAGACGUUGAAGGGACCAUGCCAACUGCAUCCAAAGUCCAACCACACCAUGGAAGAAUGCCGCGUCCUCAAAAGCAUCUAUACACGGCGGGCUGCUCAAGACGACCCCGCCAAGAAAAACGGGAAACAAGACGGGCGCGAUCACGAAGACGAGGACGAAGACCAGGAUAGGGACCCACGACACCAGUAUGUCAGUCCUACUGACGUGGUCCACUCCAUCUUCGGGGGCAAGGUUUCCAUCGAGUCUAAACGAGAAAGAAAGCUCUUAAAGAGAGCCUGCCUCAACAUAGACAGCACGGAUGGCCUGAUCGCUGAUCUGAAAUUUCCUCCCUGGUCGCACAGGGAAAUCUCCUUCAGCAGGAAGGAUUAGUGGGCCGCUAUCUAAGAGCCAGGUCGUUUCCCUCUAAUCUUGGACCCUUGCAUCAACAGCAUCAGAUUCGAGCGCGUGCUCGUGGACGGAGGAAGUUCCAUUGACAUCCUCUUUCGCAACAACCUGCCCGCCCUCAAGAUAUCUCCAGCACAGCUAAAACCCUAUGACGCUCAAUUCUGGGGAGUCUUGCCAGGUCAGAGUUCAAUGCCCCUCAGACUGAUAACACUGCCUGUCCAAUUCGGCACGUCCGACCACUUUCGAACAGAGUUCGUCAACUUUGUGGUCACCGAUUUUGAUGGGACUUACCACGCUAUACUGGGUCGACCAUCGCUGACAAAGUUCAUGGCAGUCCCACAUUACUCAUACCUGGUCCUCAAAAUGCCUACGGAGAAGGGCGUCCUAACCGUCAGGGGCAAUGUCUACACUGCAUAUACUUGCGAGGAGAGCUUCAAGAUCACUGAAUCAAUCAAUCUGUCAAUUCGCAUGGCAGAAACAGCAGCCCAAGCCGCACAGCUCCCUCACGACCAGCUCCGACUGCCCGAGCAGGAGAAAGCCAGGAAGAAUGCAAAAUCCAAGGAGUACAAGGAAGUACAGCUCGUUGAAGGUAGCCCCGAGAAGACGGCCCUCAUCGGGGCCAACCUGGAUCCCAAAUAGGAAGACGCGCUCGUUAGGUUUCUAAGGGACAACGUGAGCGUUUUCGCAUGGAAACCCGCAGACAUGCCCGGUGUCCCACGAAACCUGAUCGAGCACUCCUUAAAUGUCUCGAAGACCGCAAGACCCAUCAAGCAAAAGCUGCGACGGUUCGCUCGUGACAAAAAGGAGGCUAUUAGGACAGAAAUAACACGGCUUCUAGCAGCUGGAUUCAUAAAAGAAGUGUAUCAUCGGUUCUUGUACGCAAAAAGAAUAAUGAAUGGAGAAUGUGCGUUGAUUACACUGAUCUCAAUAAACAUUGUCCUAAAGAUCCUUUUGGUCUCCCUCGCAUCGACGAGGUGGUCGACUCAACGGCCGGAUGUGAACUCCUAUCUUUUCUAGACUGCUACUCUGGUUAUCACCAGUUCUCGCUAAAGGAAGAUGAUCAGAUCAAAAUGUCUUUCAUUACUCCUUUCGGCGCAUACUGCUACAUGACCAUGUCCUUCGAACUCAAAAACGCCGGAGCCACCUAUCAACGGGCCAUCCAGCAAUGCCUCCACGACGAGAUUCGUGAUGACCUCGUCGAGGCUUAUGUAGACGACGUUGUCGUCAAAACAAGGGAAGCAAGCACCCUAAUCGACAACUUAGACUGAACCUUUAAGGCGCUAAACAAGUACAAGUGGAAGCUUAACCCCAAAAAGUGCAUCUUUGGUGUCCCGUUCGGUCACUACUCGGCAACGUCGUCAGCCGCGACGGCAUACGACCGAAUCCUUCAAAAGUAAAAGUAGUACUUGACAUGCGACCACCUAAGAAUGUCAAGGAUAUUCAGAAGCUCACCAGAUGUAUGGCCGCUCUCAGCUGCUUCAUCUCAAGACUAGGAGAAAAAGGCCUCCCUUUCUUCAAACUCUUGAAGGCGUCGGAAAAAUUCUCCUAGACAGAAGAGGCUGACGCUGCGUUCACCUAGCUUAAGACCUUCCUCACCUCACCGCCUGUUCUCACAGCGCCUCAGCCCAAUGAAGACCUACUCCUUUACAUUGCGGCAACCGACAGGGUUGUCUCCACGGCAAUAGUGGUCGAGCGAGACGAGCCAGGUCACAUCUACAAGGUCCAGAGACCCGUUUAUUUCAUAAGCGAAGUCUUAAACGAGUCCAAGGCCAGAUAUCCACAAAUACAGAAGCUCAUAUACGCCAUUCUAAUAACGUCGAGGAAGCUAAAGCACUACUUCGACGGCCAUCGAGUCUUGGUAACCACCAGUUUCCCUCUUGGGGAUAUUCUGCGCAAUAAAGACGCCAAUGGUAGAAUUGUAAAAUGGGCAAUGGAGUUAUGCCCAUUCUCCCUGGACUUCCAGAGCCGCACCACAGUCAAGUCUCAGGCCCUGGUCGAUUUCAUCACAGAGUGGACGGAUCUCAACGAGCCUCCCGUUUCCGACGUUUCCGACCACUGGUCAAUGUUCUUCUACGUCUCCUUGAACAUCAACGGCGCCGGGGCUGGGAUACUUUUCGUGUUGCCUAACAAGGACAAACUGCGUUACAUCCUUAGGAUCCUUUUUCCGGCAUCAAACAACGUCACCGAGUACGAAGCAUGCCUGCACGGCAUACGACUAGCCGUUGAGUUGGGAGUCAAACGCCUCUACGUCUAUGGCGACUCCGCCUUAGUUAUCAACCAGCUCAACAAGGAAUGGGACGCAACCCACGAGAAGAUGGAUCUCUACUACAAAGAAAUCCGCAAAUGGGAAUCCAACUUCUAUGGCAUAGAGUACACCCAUGUGGUCCGGGAUAAAAACCAGGCAGCAGAUGCGCUGUCAAAGUUAGGGUCAUCUCGGGCCCAGAUCCCGCGAGGUGUUUUCGUCCAGGACAUCCAUGAGCCGAGUGUGGGCACAGACCUGGUCGAAAAGCAACCUAUUGAGGCAAUGCUCAUAGACGACGCUACUCCGACAACCAGCAGCCGUGAUUGGCGCACCCCGUUCAUCAGAUACAUAUCGGACGGGUCAGGCUUUCACGAUAAAACGGAGAACAAGCGCCUCAUUCGACGAUCAAAGAAUUACAUACUGGUGGACGGCAAACUCAUGCGAAAAAAUGUAAGUUCUGAAGUGCUGCUCAAAUGCAUAUCCCAGGAUGAUGGCAUCAAGCUCCUAGACGACAUACACGCUAGAUCCUGCGGCAACCAUGCUGCCUCCAAAACGUUGGUCGGGAAGGCUUUCCGAGCAGGUUUUUACAGGCCAACCGCAGUCACCGACGCAGAAAAACUGGUCCGACAUUGUGAGGGAUGCCAGUUCUUUGCCAAAAGGACCCCCGUACCUACUCAUGAGAUUCAAAUUAUCCCGUCAUCCUGGCCUUUCGCCUGCUGGGGUCUCGACAUGAUCGGGCCAUUUAAACCGGCUCCUGGCAACUUCAAGUUUGUCUUCGUAUUAAUUGACAAAUUCUCAAAGUGGAUCGAAUACAUGCCACUAGUCAAAGCAACCUCCGAGAAAGCUGUGGAAUUCCUCAAUCAAAUCAUACACAAAUUCGGGAUCCCCAACAGUAUAAUCACCGACUUGGGCACUCAGUUCACUGGCACUAUGUUUUGGGACAUCUGCGAUGACAGAGGCAUUGUGAUAAAAUACGUGUCAGUAGCCCACCCACGGGCAAACGGUCAAGUAGAGCGCGCGAAUGGCAUGAUCAUUGAUGCCCUAAAGAAAAGGUUGUACACCGAGAACCACAGAGCACCUGGUCGAUGGAUGAAAGAGUUACCGGUUGUGGUAUGGGGUCUCCGAACACAGGCUAGUCGGAACACGGGGGUGUCACCCUACUUCAUGGUUUACGGCACUGAGGCAGUGCUGCCGUCUGAUAUAGCCUUCGGGUCUCCUAGAGUUGAAAACUUUGGCCAGUCAACGGCCGACAACGCCAGGGAGCUCGAAAUCAACUGCAUGGAGGAAAAGCGUCUAAAUUCAUGUUUUCGAAUAGCAAAGUAUCUUGCGGCCAUCAUACGGUACCACAACAGGAACAUCAAGGACCGUUCUUUCAUGGUCGGCGAUCUGGUACUCAGGUGGAAAACAAGCCAGGAAGGAAUGCACAAGCUAUCCACCCCGUGGGAAGGACCCUUUGUGGUCGCCGAAGUCACACGUCCUACAUCCUACAGAUUGGCGUAUCCAAACGGAACACGCGUGCCUAAUUCUUGGCACAUAGACAAACUGCGCCAUUUUUAUCCAUAAGUUCCAGUACCUUUUUGCUUGUAAGUUUCUUAUAAUUGGCAAUAAUAAAAGUUUUCCUUUUUCGCUAUACAUUGUUUACACGCAGAGCUUUCGACGAGCACAACAAUAUUCCUCUGCGACGGAGAUCCUUAACGACUAUGAGUCAAACACAGUGAUACAUCACUCAGAUAACUUUACAGCGCUCAAAAUCAUGGUCAUGACAAAAUCAAACUUUAUUACAAACUUUACAUACAGAGUUUACAAUAAACACCCUGACGGGCGGUUACUAGUCUACUCCUACAGACUAUCCUACUGGCCUACUCCUCGGGCUGAUCACCCGCCUGGCCUUGCUGCCCGGAUGAAGAGGGGGGGCCACCGGCGCCUGGCUGGUCGAGACCGCUGGCGUCAACCGCCCACCUUCGGCAAUAGACGCCCCCGACAACUCCCUGGCCGACCUGUCUGACCCCGGCUGGUCGGGGGGAGUGGCCGUCCCGCAUAGAUUGAUGUCGCCGAUCACCGUCGACGACAAGUCUAGCAGACCAGCUCGAAGGUCGUCCGCCUCCUGCGGGCUGACUUCCUUGGGGUACCCCCUCUCCAGCCUGGACAAGUCGACCAGGGGAUAGUGGGCGCGCACCAUGCUGAGGACAUGUGCGCCGGCAAACUCCCCGGCGUCCUUAACAAACUGCUGGAGCCAAUCCCACGCCCGUUGCGCCUUCUCGACUGGCGUCAGCUUCGGCGCGCGGGGCUGGUCCUCUGGAAGCUCGGGGCUGAUCAAGUCUAGGACCGGGGCCACUCCUUUCCAAAGCCUAAUACAGUUAGUCUUCCAGGAGUCCCGAUCCUUGACCAGCUCGUCUAAGCGCUUCUUGGUAUUUACCUUGAGCACUACAAACCAAGCAGGAGGUCAGUUUAAUAAUAAUGAACGGAACGUUGAGCAGCCAAAUAAAGGAGGGCGGCACGGUUAUUACCAGACAACUCCCGAUUCCUCUGGCCUAGCUCCUCGCCUGCUCGGCGCCCGGCCUCCAGCGCCCCGGCAAGCUCUUGACCGAGCUGCUCCUUCUCUUGCCGAAGGCGCGCGACCUCCUCCUCCAAGUCUACAUGAACAAUCCCCUGGUCAACAAAACCAACCACGUGGCUACAUACAGCUGCUCGGAGCAUGCGACUGACCUGUCCGUUGCCGAUACUGGUCGGCUAAACGCCGAGUGAGCUCAAGACGACGCUCUUCCUGGGCGCUCAUCUCAGCCACCUUCUCCCCAACCUCCGACCGCAGCCGGUCCACCUCCGCGGACAGGGCCUUGUUCUCGGCCACAAUGCCCUCUAUUUGGUCGAAGCACCUCUUCCGGUACUUCGCCAUUUUCAUUGCGCCCUGCAAGAAGAACAUAUGUCGACCCAGCAAGAUAGCACAAAAAGUGUCGAGUAGUGCAAAGGACCACUUACCUUAACUUCGUCCACAAGGCACUUGGCAACACGCUCCACCCUCGCGGCCUCUUCCGUCUCCGCGAGCUCCUCGUGUCCGAUGAAGUGGUCCCCGCGUUGGCGCCACACGUAUACGUGUUGGCGGCCAUCACGGGGACGACCUUCAAUUUCCUCCACGUCGUCGUCAGAGGCCGCCUGGGUUUCCUCGUUCGCUGCACUGCCACUGGCUGUGGUCGUAGGCAUCACUGGCCCCUGGACCAGGCCAGGGGAGCCUGCGGACGAAGAGGCUCCUGCCCGGGGUGGCGUUGGGAUCCCCCUCUCUUCGGCGGGGGGAGGGGUCGAGACUCUGUCUUCCCGUUCCGCAACGCUACUCGGGGGAGGGGUCCUCGUAGCCUCCUCAUCCCUUGUCGGGCUGCUCGCCACGGUCCUUGCUGAGGCCGAAAGCUCCUCGGCGCUCUCAGCCAUGGUUGCCGCCGCGGGGUGCUCCGAGGUCUGCGGCGCGGCGUCCUCAGCGGCAGCGGCAGGUUCGACCACCCUCUGGCCGGCAACAUGUUCAGGAUCGACGUCCGACGCCGUGCUAACAAUAAAACGACAUUUAAACAGUGUCAAAACGCAGCAACAAAAUGCAAAAAAAUCGCAGCACGAAAGUAAGAAUGCAAACUUACAGGUCAGAGCGCCGGUGCGUUGCGGUGAACCGCCUCCUGACUCUACCGGUCAGUGCCUGCGCCCCCGUCUCCACGACGUGCGUCGGCUCGACGUGCGAAGCAGGCGGGACACUGGUCACCCCACCAGUGGUGGCCGGCGCAACGUUCGGACGACUACGAGGCCUCCGGACCAACGACGGUGCGGCCUCCUCCUCCUCGUCGUCGUCGUCGGCGAUCCGGACGAGCCGACGGCGUUUUGGCGCCUGGCUGCUCUCUGCUGGCAGCGUUGGCACAGGGGAAGGGUCUGCUGCUAAUGGCCUUUUCCCUGCCACUCUGCCCUCGGUGGUCGGGGCGGGGUGGGCCUGCUCCUCCUCACUGCUGGUGUACCAGGCACACCGAGCAGCGUCGUCCUCCAGCGGAUCUUCCCCCGCGGGAUUCUCCAUCCCAGGUGCCAGUGAUACGUACACUGUGCACCGGUCAACGUCUCCGAUCUGCAACAGUAACAAAGACAAGUCAGCAACUGGAAAGAACAAGAACUAAGGAGGUACAAUCAGUAAGUAACGUUACCUUAGGAGCUGGUCGCCCCAGCUUGAAGGCCUGCACCCGAUCAUUACCACGGAUGAGGCUCCCGUCCGCAAAGUUGAACAGCUCGUUCAACAGCUGCUGCACUUCCGCCUUCUCCAAAACCUCAGGCCUCAUCCUGGUCGGGUCGUGGCUUCUAGCGUACUCGUACGCCGAGUGCACCCUUUUCUGGCAGGGCAUCACCCGACGACAAAUGAAGUUGCCGACCACUCCUAGCCCGUCCAAACGCGACCAGUCGAUCAGCUUCAUCAGGUCCGCUACUUGGCCGGCGAACUCUGGGCGGUCGGUCCAACUGACCCUCUUCUCGGGGAUAUACCCCACGUCGCAGAACGUGGAGCUGCCCGGCUAUUCCCUGAUGUAGAACCACUUCCUAUACCAUUCGGUAAGAGAAGUGUUCCAUGGGCAGCUUAGAUACCGGUUCUUCAUCCCGUCACGAAGAUUGAGGUAUACUCCACCUGCAAUCUUGGAGCCCCCAACCGCUCCCUUUUUCCUCAAACAGAAAAGAUAACGGAACAGAUCGAAGUGCUGCUCUAUUCCAACAUAGGCCUCGCACAGAUGAAUGAAAGUGGAAAUGAGAAGGAUUGAGUUUGGGUGCAGAUUGCAGAUCCCGAUCUCAUAGUACAAGAGAAGCCCCUGAACAAAAGGAUGGACAGGAACCCCAAAACCCUCUUGAAAAAAUCUUCAAACACUACAAUCUCACCGGCACGAGGGUCGGGGUAGCUCUCCCCCUCUGGCGCCCUCCAGCCGCCGAGCUCUGGGCCAUGUAGUAGCCCCAUGUCGACGAGGUCAUUGAGGGACUUCACACUGCUUUGGGACUUUUUCCAUUCCUUGGCCAUCCGCUCGGCCCUAUUCUUGGAGUCGCUCUUCGCCAUUGACGUUGCAGGAGUGACUGCGAGCUGGGAGGGUUACAGGUGGUUGUAGAAGGUAUGAGCGGAAAGCUUGAAGGUGAUGGCAGAGUAAGCAAUGCGGGGGUACUGUCAGGCUUUUAUAAACCACAACUCCACCCCUCCCACUUCCCGCAUUCUUGGGAAGUGGGCGGGCCCAGCGGCGGACGCGGCGUUUCGGUUUUCAAUAAUUAUCGGCAGUUAAUGCGGCGGCCUUUUCGUAUAAUUGAUGGUUUCCUUUUCUCAAACCACGCAAAGGGCGGCUGCGCAGUUACCAGGCACAACUUUUCACGCAACCAUCUGACAAUACGUCAAGAGGUCUCGUCACGUCAAUCAUUUACGUGGUAAGAUGUUUUCUUCAAAAUAACAGACAAAAAUUGGUGGAGGGUCAACAUUCCUGGGGACUGUGCCGACCACCGAGCACUAUAUGCUCGAGGACUGGUCGCCCAGUCCGUCAACAUGGAAAUCUAAGGACUGCACCGACCACCGAGCACUGUAUGCUUGGGGACUGGUCGCCCAGUCUGCCAUCUCGGUAAUCUAGGGACUGCACCGACCACUGAGCACUGUAUGCUCGGGGACUGGUCGCCCAGUCUGCCAUCUCGGUAAUCUGGGGACUGCACCGACCACCGAGUACUGUAUGCUCGGGGACUGGUCGCCCAGUCUGUCAGCUCAGGAAUCUGGGGGCCCUACCGAUCACCGAGCAUUGUACGCUCGGGGACUGGUCGACCAGCCCGCUAGAUUGAUAAGUCUAUCCGAUAGUAAACGAGUAUGAGAUGCUCGGGGACUGGAUAAUAUUAUUGUUUAGACCUUGCUACAAGGUUCAUACUUCGCCUUCCAGCAAGCUCGGGGACUACAUCGGUACGAUGCAUAAGGCGAUGCAUCUCAGUUUCAAAAUUUCUUUGAGGACUUUUCUUUUGACCCUGGCACCACGUGCCUACGUCACCUACUGCCAGACUCGGGGACUAAGUGGGCACACUUCACCUUGCGGUGAAUAUGCUUGCUUUUUGAAAGGCUAUACUUUUCAGCAAAGCAAAGUGGGCACACUUCACCAGGAAAGAAAUCUUUUUUGAUUAAGAGCACCAUGCAUUCUUCGAACAACCUGCUUCUUCGACAUUAAUAAUGAUCAACUGUCUUUUGAGUCGGUCAAAAUACCGUGGCAACCGUUUGGGCGACUCUCCUGCCUAUUGAAGGUGUCAAAGUUUCACUGAUCGAAGAAGCUCAAGACGGCGAGUUACUUCACAAUACAUGGUGCUCGGGGACUAGCUGUGGGGGUAUAGAGCCCUAUAUCCUUACAGCUAGACUUGGGCCAGUAGGUUUGGCCCAUUACGAGACAAGUUCGAAGCUUGAUCCGACAACUCAGAGUUUCGCGCAAGGAAACAAGAUGUGGAGAUCAAGCAGGAUUCUAGUCGGGUAGAAUAGAAAUGGAUAUCGAACUAUCUAUGGCAAUUGUAAUCGACUAGGAUUAGUUUCUAGAUCUGUAACCCUGCCCUCCGGACUAUAUAAGGAGAGGCAAGGGACCCCCCUAGGACAUCAUUAUUCUCUCAACAAAAAUCAAUACAACCAGACGCAGGACGUAGGUAUUACGCCAACUCGGCGGCUGAACCUGGAUAAAAAGCUUGUCCGUGUCUUGCGUCACCAUCGACUUCGUAGUUUGCGCACCGUCUACCGACAAACUACUACCGUGGGUAUACCCCAAGGUAGACUGCCGACUAGCUUUCGUCGACACUUAUGCUAACACUUAACCAGUUCCACAAAGCUUUGUUGUCUAUUUGAGCUCCAUAGAAUUCAAGGAUCAAAGAAGACUAGCAGACAGAGGACAUCCUAAUCACUGUCAGGGUGCUACCGACAUUCAAAUACACCUCCACCACCUGCUACAUCAAAAGGAAUUACGUCAAAAUCUAGCUUGGGGGAGAGCACCCCUAUUUAUCCAGCUAAGUGUUCUACUCACGUUUAUACUUUACUCAUAUAAUAAAAAGUUGCAUAAUCAUAUAAACCCAAGUAAAGAUUUUGUGCUUAUAUAUAUAUCUUUGCUUAGUUUGCUAAAUAAAUAAAUAAAGUUUGCUAUGAACCCUCAUGAUAAGCUCUCACAUGGAAUGAUGAAUAGUUGCUCUGCCAUGACUAGUUCUCAAAAUUGCAAUCUCUCUCAAGUUUAGGCAUGACUGUUAUUAAUUAAGAUUUGCUCUAAACUUGAACUUGUAGGAAGAGUACUUGAUCUAAAGUCUAAGUCGUUAACGGAUAUGAUAUGGGAAGAUUGAGCUGCUAUUUAUCUGUUCUUAGAGAUGCUAGAAUUCUGGAGAAUUUUAUCUUUGAAAAUCUUUAAAAUGUUGCAUGAUGAGUUCCUGUAUGAUGAGAGUUUAAAUUCCUACCACAGCCAUAUAUACAUGCUUGCUAAACUUUGAGCCACACAUUUACUUUUUACUGCUUAUGAGCAUUGAGUGUGGUCAAGCUGUGUAGACCCUUAGGAGCUUGUCAUGUGGUUAAGUCAAGAUUCACUUGCACGUUCACUCACACAUGCUGCUUCUACUCCGGAAGUACGCAUCCACAUAUAUCCACCCAUUUCCAUCUCCAGAAUCACCUAAAAAUAUUCUACUCCUAAUCCGGGAGAGAAUAGCCAAAAACAUUUCUGUUUUUCCAUAUGAAAUAAAUGCUCAAGUUAUCUUGGUUACUACCACUUGCUAUAUUAUUUCAGGAGAUGAGUGCUCUAAAAAAGAGAGAGAAAAAAAAGAAAGAAUACAAUGAAAUAAAAAGGGGCAAGUGCCUGGAACCUCGAAGAAAAGAAAAAGUGAGACGAGAGGUAAAAAUGGACAAGUGUCCGACAGUAGAAUUAGGUGUACAAGAUACCCACCUGGGAGAAAAGAAAAAGAAAAUAUAGAGCAUCUCAUUCUCCUUAAAAAGUUUCAAAAGAGCAAGAAAGGUAUGUAUCCCCUCAAAAGAGCACAAGUAGAAUUAGACUUUCACCAUUGUUAUCACCAUCAUUACCAUGCACCAUUCAUUAGCCACACAUGCACAUCUUGAUUUGACUUAUUGACUUGUUCUUUUGGAUCCAUGGUUUGACUAUGCAAUAAAUGUCUUGUAAGUAUGUAUUAGCUAUCUCCCACCUAUGAGCUCCAGAUAUCAAAACCCUUAUUAGAGUAGGGAGAGAGAGAAGGCAAUGUCACUCUGCCUCAUACCAAAAAUACCACAUACUUUGAGAGAAGGCAUACACCUUUACUACCUUGGUAAGGAUCCAAAAAUACCACAAAAGAGAGACUACAGAGAGUCAUACAAGGAAUCUCUGAGUUUUAUUUGAAAAUCUGCAAAAAAACUCCAGAGCUAUAGUUAAUCGAAGAACAAGAGACAUGGCGCUUGACUAGACCGUUCUAUCUUUUAACUGCUCAAGACACAGGUGACAGUUGUAAGCCCCA
rnacentral:lncRNA from 1 species